rnacentral:rRNA from 1 species
AGUGAACGCUGGCGGUAGGCCUAACACAUGCAAGUCGAACGGCAGCACAGUAAGAGCUUGCUCUUACGGGUGGCGAGUGGCGGACGGGUGAGGAAUACAUCGGAAUCUACUUUUUCAUGGGGGAUAACGUAGGGAAACUUACGCUAAUACCGCAUACGACCUACGGGUGAAAGCAGGGGAUCUUCUGACCUUGCGCGAUUGAAUGAGCCGAUGUCGGAUUAGCUAGUUGGCGGGGUAAAGGCCCACCAAGGCGACGAUCCGUAGCUGGUCUGAGAGGAUGAUCAGCCACACUGGAACUGAGACACGGUCCAGAGUCCUACGGGAGGCAGCAGUGGGGAAUAUUGGACAAUGGGCGCAAGCCUGAUCCAGCCAGACCGCGUGGGUGAAGAAGGCGUUCGGGUUGUAAAGCCCUUUUGUUGGGAAAGAAAAGCAGCAGGUUAAUACGCCGCUGUUCUGACGGUACCCAAAGAAUAAGCACCGGCUAACUUCGUG